rnacentral:snRNA from 1 species
AGAGAAUAGGUUGAACCCGGGAGGCAGAGGUUGCAGUGAGCCAAGAUCGCGCCACUGCACUCCAGCUUGGGUGACAGAG